UCCCCCACGCCUCUCAACGAUGCGCACUUGGGGGAU
rfam:Rathayibacter toxicus strain FH142 contig_53, whole genome shotgun sequence.